UCCUUGGUCCACUGUUGGGCGCAACAAAAUCCAGCAGCGCCGUAUCCGGGAAAUGGUAUUCUAGCAGGCAAGUAAAGCCCAGCGGAUCGAGUUGGGCGCUGGCUUCACCCUCAUCUCUACGACGAUUUCGCCGGUACUCCUUGUCCUAAUACUGGUCCAAAAAGAAACCCUAAGCCGAGGUACUUCGGAUUCUUCUACUCUUUCUAUAUCUAUUCUGUAUGAAUUCGAUGCAAUCUUGAUGUAUAUGACCUCUCUGUUUUUUGGCUGGAGAUUGAGAGGUGAUUGUGGUUUUUGAUGGGAGGACGGAUGGAGGAGGGUUGGCAUUGUUUUGAUAUUGGUUUUAGGUUUUCAGCGUGUGACCACUGGGGUUGUUGAUUUGUUGAGAGAUGUUUUGUGAUUGAUUGGAGCCGGGACGAAGGGGAAUUUGGAACUCGGAUUUUAUUGGUUAGUUAAGAUUCUUUAAUUGCAAGCGCUCACGCUUUAUUUUUUCGGGUUCUUUUUCUUGUUCUUCACGAGUUACAGAUUUCGGAGGGGAAAAAAAGAGGGUUUCUUUGAUUCGAAAACAGGUGGUUUGACAACCCGUGUUAUAGUUUAAUUCUUUAUCUCAAAACAGGUGAUUCGACAUCCGGUGUUAUUGUUUUGAUUCUUUAUCUGGACAAUUAGUACGAUUGCUCCAAAUUAUGGCAGUGAUUCUUUUUGUUCGCAGAGUCUUUUUUCUGUUUUUUUUAGGGGCGGCAAAAUCAAGAAACAAGCAAGUCAAAUUAUUUGAUAACGCAAAUUAAGAGAGGGAGAAGCAAAGAGGGUCAUCAAUUUAUUAUUUGGUGUGGGGCAUUUAUCCUCACAUGAUUCGAAUUCUGUGGCACUUCUGUUACUGGCCAAUGCAAGAAGGGCCUGAUUUUUUAGGAGGUGGUUAGAAAUAUGUGUUGAGCUAAAAAUUUUGAUGCAUGUGAUGAAGAUCAACAUUUUAUGGGAAAGGAAUGAGAAGAAGUUCUCCUGGCAAUAGGCAUUAUUGAAAGUAAUUAGUGGGCAUAUGUUUUUUUUCCAUCAAGAAUCUUAUUGUGCUUGGCAGCAGUUCAAGAGACCAAAUUCAACCACAUAGCUAUAAUUUUAACCCUUCAUUUUGUGUUAAACAAUGCUUCUACUCUUAAUUAGGGCUAUCUUAUGAGGAAGCUUUUCAUGAGAAGCUUGUGUUUGGUUAGAUUUGCGGUCACUUGACUAAUAGAUGAACUGAGCUUGAACUUUGUCUAGCUUGUUCAAGAUUGCUUUAGUUAAACAUAAAAUCUACUUUAAUAUAUAUGUAUAUAUAUGCAUAUACUUUAAUAUGUAUGUAUGUAUGCGUGCGUGCGUAUUAUCAUAUAAGUUACUAUUUUGUGCAUGCAUGCGGAUUAUCAUAUAAGUUACUAUUUUGUAGAUAAAAUGUUUUAUAUGUAAAAUUUUUUUCUAGUAACAUAAUUUGGGAAAAAUAAGAAGAACAUGCUUCAAUUAUUAUGCUGAAAUCUGGUCGUGGAAACUAGUUGAGAGAGAGAGUGUGUGUUUAUGUGUAGGGGGAAGUGUGUGGGGCCUUAAGCUCUUAGCAAAUCUCACAAGCGAGCUAUUUGCGAACAACUUGAGGGUGGUUUGGAGUUGGAUGAGGCAUUGAGCUUAGGUUAGGCCUAGCUAGCUUGAGCUCAUCUCAAUUAUACAUCUUCUCUUAAUAUGCUCUCAUUAAUGGGCUAUUUUUUGAUGAUGAUUUUGGAUAUUUCUAUAAAAUAACAUAUUGUCCAUCAAUUGAAGGGAAGGAAGGAGCGGCCUUUUUGCUUGAUGGUCCAACCUCUUAGCUUGACCAAGACCAAGGCCUACAAAUGCCUUAACAAACUUGAGAGUCAAGUGAAAGACGUUGCUGCUCAAAUAUGAAAUAUGGACUCUUUCAAUGUUUUAAAUGCUGGCAGGAUGGUGUCUCAUUUUGUUACUNNN
rnacentral:lncRNA from 1 species